rnacentral:rRNA from 1 species
UCAGAUCACGUAAAUUUUUAAUAGUCGAACAGACUACCCUUUUUGGCUUCUUCACCAAAUAUUAAAUUUAAUUCAACAUCGAGGUCGCAAACCUAAUUAUUAAUAAGAACUCGUUAAUUAGAUGACGCUGUUAUCCCUAGAGUAACUUCAUAAAAUUUAUAUUACAUUUUCAAAAAUUUUUUUCUUCAAUUGUUACCCCAACUAAAAUUAUAUUAAUUUAAGCUUCUAGGGUCUUCUUGUCCCAAAAAUUUAUAAAACCAUUUUUAAUUUUAAUUUAAAUUCAAAUUAAUUAAAUAAAACAUUCCCUUUAGUAUAUACCCUUCAUUCAAGUUCCCAAUUAAAAAA